AUACCUCAAUGAAUCUGCUUACCUGAUUGUGUUUCUGCAGAAAUUUUUUUAUAGCUGGCGGUAGCAAAGCCAUGUUACGAGCCUUAAAGAUAUUGGGGUCUUUAAGGUCACUGAAAGUGGCUGUGUGA
rfam:Erinaceus europaeus unplaced genomic scaffold scaffold01041, whole genome shotgun sequence